rnacentral:rRNA from 1 species
AGAGUUUGAUCCUGGCUCAGGACGAACGCUGGCGGCGUGCCUAAUACAUGCAAGUAGAACGCUGAAGACUUUAGCUUGCUAGAGUUGGAAGAGUUGCGAACGGGUGAGUAACGCGUAGGUAACCUGCCUACUAGCGGGGGAUAACUAUUGGAAACGAUAGCUAAUACCGCAUAAUAGUGUUUAACACAUGUUAGAGACUUGAAAGAUGCAAUUGCAUCACUAGUAGAUGGACCUGCGUUGUAUUAGCUAGUUGGUGGGGUAACGGCCUACCAAGGCGACGAUACAUAGCCGACCUGAGAGGGUGAUCGGCCACACUGGGACUGAGACACGGCCCAGACUCCUACGGGAGGCAGCAGUAGGGAAUCUUCGGCAAUGGGGGCAACCCUGACCGAGCAACCCGCGUGAGUGAAGAAGGUUUUCGGAUCGUAAAGCUCUGUUGUAAGAGAAGAACGUGUGUGAGAGUGGAAAGUUCACACAGUGACGGUAACUUACCAGAAAGGGACGGGCUAACUACGUGUCCAGCAGCCGCGGUAAU